UCUGAGCUGUCAGCACAGAGCCCGACGUGGGGCUCGAACCCACGAACCGCGAGAUCGUGACCUGGGCGGAAGUCAGAUGCUUAUCCGACUGAGCCCCCCAGCACCCUGACGAUUUUUGCCUGAAAAGUGAUUGUGAGGGUUUCCAGGCGGGGAUGUGACUCCCCCUCGUGCACUAGUGAGUUAGCUCCGUGGACGGAGCGCUUCCCCUGCGGGCCCUACGGUGGCCUGUGCUUCCUACUUCGACAGCGGAUUCUGAUAUAUGACUGUCAUUAUUUUGAGGCACACGUUGUCCCAGAUUGGUCUUACAAGACGCUGUUUGACUCGUUUCUGAUGCACAGCCCCUGCUCUGUCUCCCGAGAAUCCAAGGAGCUCAGCAACCCACACACCGGCUUCCAGAGCAUUCUCCAUCAAAACCACCAGGCUGCUCCUAGAACGGCUGGCCCGGGCCGGGGCCUCGGGAGUGACAGGCUCACCGUGAAACCUCCCUUCAUACAACGUUCGAUGCGGCCACUCAGUGUGCAUCAGCCCAAAGCGCCCCCAGAAGGUCCCCCUGGGGUUACGUCCGAGUCCUCUCAGGUCACUUUCCUGCCUGCCCGCGGCCACCGGGGCCACCAGGCCACAGGGCCUCAUCCCAGCACCUAAACGGCGCCAGGUGGGGCAGCAAGGAUCAGCAGAAGCCCCCAGUACCUCUGGACCAGCACCCCAGGCCCAGGGUGCCCUCGGGCUCACCUGUGCAGGCUGACGGCCAAGCUCACCAAGGAGACUAUAAAUCCCACCCAGAGCGUUAGCGAGGCGCUAGCUCUCCAGUGAGACGUUUGCACAUCACGGGUGUGUCAGAACCUUCGAAAGCACCACAGAAUUCAAGAGAAACACUGCCAUGGAGAAGAUGCCCAUAGGAUCCCAGAGACCAGCCCAGAGCCUCAGACAGGAGCUCAGAAAUACAGGAGGAUACAGGCAUUCACGGGCUCUUUAACUGAUGUGUUUAUUUCGUGCUGAGAGUGGCCCCCCCUUUGCCAGCCUGGGAGUUGAAUGAGUUAGAGGUUUCCAGAGGGAAGCCAUGGGACAGGUUAGGACAGGCUGGUCCCUACUCAGAGGGACUCAACACACAGCAUCACCAGGUCCUGGCUGCCGGGCCCACCUCCCAGCCCUCGCAAACCCCCCCCUCCCCCGUCCCUCCCUUCUCCUGCAGCACACAGCCCUGAGCCCUCAGUGGCUGCCCACCGAAGGCCUGAGCCUGCUCCCCCUCUGCAAACCCCACCCCCGUGACCACUUCACCCCUGCGUCUGUCUCUGCCUCCACCUCUAUCCCCUCGGCUCCUGCCUCCGCCCAGUGUCUCGAGGGAGCGGAGCAGGGCCACUCAGGCCAGCAACCCUGCGUCCAUCGGGAGGAGCUGUUUUCUGCUACCAGCACCCUUCCCUCUGGCCAGCAGAAGGCUGGGGCCUUGCUGGCCUGGUGGGUCCUUUCUCUGCAGGUGAACUGGGGGUGGGGGGGUGGGGACAGGCAGGCAUCUCCUUGAAGGAGCCCUGAUGUUGGAGCUGCACCUCAACCUUGGGGAACCAGGGUCCGUGCCCCCCUGCUCUCUCAGUCCCUGGCGGGGUCCCGAGCCCUUCCCUUCCCCUGACGGCUCUCUUCCAUGGACCUCAGGGCCCCUAGGUCAGCAGCCUCCCCUACGGCUCACCCCACCCUUGGCUCACUUCCUGGGUAGCUCUUCACCGGCCCCAUGCUUCCCUCCAGGGCACAAGGAGCCCCAUGUGGGCUGGUUUCCAGUGCUGGGGGUGGGGGAGGGACACUGAACCCCAUGUCCUCGGUCAGUGUGCUCUCAUCAGGCAGCUCUGGGUUCUGAGGGCAGGGGUCCUGGUGCCCAGGGGAGGGGGCUUCUUGCCGAACCCGGCACUGUGACCCAUGGGGCUCCCCCUGCCCAGGGGCCAGGAGGCAGGAGAGCAGUCCGGGUCUCGGUGGGCAUCCCGGACCCUGAUCAGGAGGUCUUACCAGGCACGCAGGCAGUCUUCACGCAUCUUUCAGAACUCCAGGUCCAGGUGUGGCGGACAGUGGACAAGUGCCCUGGUGGUCACAUCCUAGAACUCUCCUUGACCCGGGCAGCACCCCGCAGGAGAAGGCCGGCCUUGCAGGAGGAUGCUACUCUUCACUGCCUCAGUGGGAGGAAGGAAAGCUUCCUACUACCCAGCAACAGUCCAGCCGAUGAGAGACUCUCACAGCUCAGCCAGUGAGAAACAGUCACAGCCCAGCCAGUGAGAAACAGUCAUA